CCGCUCGGCGCGCUCGCUGAGCUCGCUGUCCCGCACCGGGGCCCGUGGCGCCGCGGCCGAACCCGGAGCCGGGAGGCGGUGAAGGGGGCGGGCUGGCUUGACCGAAAGCCGGGCCGCUACUGGGCUGCCGGUGCAGGCUGGCGGCGGCGAGUCGGCCUGGAGGGAGACGGAGCCGGCCCAUCUCGGGGGAAGCCCAGGCUCCUGAGUGUUGCCUGCAUUGAGGAGGGCUCACCUGACAGGCUCCUGCCCACACCCAACGGUACACCCACCUGGGGGUGCACAACAGAAAACAGCAAAAAUUGCCACCAUCAAGGAUUAUGGGAAACUAAUGAGGUCUGGUUGUCAGAACUGCGGUUUUACAAAGGAGCACUCAUUCUCAGAUACACUCCAGCCCUGACUUUGUAGCACUCACCCCUCGGAAAGUAUCUCGCAGAGCACCAGCCACUAGACCCUUGCUCAAAGGCAAGGGACUGGAAAGUUCUUCUCUGGAAGUCUUACCAGCCCUGAAGCCUAGAGGAAAGGCCUGACCUCCAUCCCCCCACAAGCCCCCUUUCAGACUGACCGGCAGUGUAUCUCGGCAUCAAGAUAAGCCGCACUGUGUGCUCAGGACUUUCCACCUACCUUGAAUCUGACUGGACAGCCCAAGGUCACAUGGCAAAGAAAACUAAGACAAUCAAACAGAAAACUGCAACUUGAAAGGAACAGAGACCAUAUAGAGAAGGAAAUUCCAAAAGAAAAAAAAAAUUAUUGCAGACUUCAGAGAGUAUGAAAAAACAUUGCAUCCUUGAAACAAGAACCACCAUGAAAAAAAAUUCAGCCCACAGAUUAUAUCUUGCUCUCUCAGCUGAGAUGGCCUAGAAGCAAUGACAUCCUAGGAGUAAAAACACACCCAGAGCCCAGGUCUUGUUUUCUAAGGCCAUUCUCAGAUAAAGGAAACCAGGGAUCCUUGGAGCAAUGGCUGAUUCUAGGGCAGGGGCGGGGAAUAUACAAGAUGAGCCUAGAGCAGGUUGUAGCGCAAGAAGGGAAGUGCUUACAGAGUAACACACACAAAUGAGGGGGCAUGUCCCAGGAGCCAACUGAAAGAGCUCCCAAUAGCCAUAGCUGGAACAAUUCGAACAAAAUAAGUAACAUGGUACUGGGUUAUGACUCAAAGUAUAAAAUAUCCAUUAGGGGACUUAGGUGGCGCAGUGGUUAAGAAUCCGCCUGCCAAUUCAGGGGACAUGGGUUCGAGCCUGCUCUGGGAAGAUCCCACAUGCUGCAGAGCAACUAAGCCCGUGUGCCACAACUAUUGAGCCUGUGCUCUAGAGCCUGUGGGCCACAACUAUUGAGCCCGUGUGCCGCAACUAGUGAAGCCCACACGCCUAGAACCCGUGCUCUGCAACAAGAGAGGCCACUGCAAUGAGGAGCCUGUGCACCACAAUGAAGAGUAAUCCCUGCUCACCACAACUAGAGAAAGCCCGUGUGCAACAAAAAAGAUCCAA